GUUUGGAAAUUACCAGUUUUAAUAGUGAUUUAAAUAUGAUUAAUAUAAGCUAUUCACAGUCGAUGUUCGACCUUGACUUUAAUAAUAGGUUGACACAGUUUCACCUCAUCGAACUGACGUGAUAAAUUUAAAUACCACAUGAAGUUUACAAUUGGUUUGAUCGAAAAUUUAUGUGAUAGUGGAUUUGUAAGAUUUUGUAAUCCAUGUGUUAUAGGAACUUGAAAUUUGCACGUAUUAUUCAUGGAUUUACCUAGGAAUACUAGUACUGUGUAAACACGUGUUACUAUAUAUUGCCAGUCGUUGACUAAAAAUAGAAUUGGACUUUCCCUUGCUAUACAUCUUGUGCAUAGCGAAGACUGGUGAGACAUACUAUCACGUUUUAUAAUAAAUGUGUUUUCAGUGGAUAUUUGAAUUAUUUUCACAAGGAAAAGUAGAUGUUGGAAGAAGUGCUUAAUUAUUAACUUCACAUCAAGAAUAGUGUUUUUACCAGAAAAAGCAGAUUCUAUUGUGCUAUUUAUAGCAUACAUGUACCAUAAUAACAAGUGACUGGAAGGAAUAUUUUCCUUUUUCACAACAAACAUAUAUUUGACUUUCAAUUUGUCAUUUCUUUUUAGAUGUAUGCAAUCUAUAAUCACAUCACAUUCAUGUUUUUGUUUUUUUUCAAUAAUUAUAAUAAAAAUAAUAAAACUUAUAUACAU